GUUGCCUGUGAUGAUGAUUGUUACCUCUAUCUUGAAUUAGAUGAAAAUAACUACAUGCACUACCAUCUGAGGCCUG